rnacentral:misc_RNA from 1 species
AAGUCGUAACAAGGUUUCCGUAGGUGAACCUGCGGAAGGAUCAUUAUCACGUUGCAAAACACUUAUCAACCUUGCGUGCACUCGGUUCCUUCAGAAUGAUAAUGGGUUUGGUGGUUUUGGGUUGUUUGUUGAAGUGGUUUGGAACACCCGCCAUCUUUGGUUUUGACAGUCUUCUGAUUGUUUUGACCAGCCCUGUUCUGAAGAGCUGUUUCUUGCGGUACCACCUCAGCCGCGUCUUGUUUCACCUUUUUCCUUUUUAAACCCCUGUACGAUUAAUGAACUGAUUUGGUUCUUUUGUCUGGUCAUUCAGUUGAUCUAGCGAAAGAAUUCACUUACAAAACAUCAAAACAACUCUUAACAACGGAUAUCUUGGUUCCCG